rnacentral:rRNA from 1 species
UGGGGAAUUUUGGACAAUGGGCGCAAGCCUGAUCCAGCCAUGCCGCGUGCGGGAAGAAGGCCUUCGGGUUGUAAACCGCUUUUGUCAGGGAAGAAAUCUUCUGAGUUAAUACCUCGGGAGGAUGACGGUACCUGAAGAAUAAGCACCGGCUAACUACGUGCCAGCAGCCGCGGUAAUACGUAGGGUGCAAGCGUUAAUCGGAAUUACUGGGCGUAAAGCGUGCGCAGGCGGUUUUGUAAGACAGAGGUGAAAUCCCCGGGCUCAACCUGGGAACUGCCUUUGUGACUGCAAGGCUUGAGUGCGGCAGAGGGGGAUGGAAUUCCGCGUGUAGCAGUGAAAUGCGUAGAUAUGCGGAGGAACACCGAUGGCGAAGGCAAUCCCCUGGGCCUGCACUGACGCUCAUGCACGAAAGCGUGGGGAGCAAACAGGAUUAGAUACCCUGGUAGUCCACGCCCUAAAACGAUGUCAACUGGUUGUUGGGAAGGUUCCUUCUCAGUAACGUAGCUAACGCGUGAAGUUGACCGCCUGGGGAGUACGGCCGCAAGAUUAAAAGCUUAAAAUGAAUUGACGGGGUCAUAGCUG